UACGGAGGGGACUAGCGUUGUUCGGAAUUACUGGGCGUAAAGCGCACGUAGUCGGAUUUGUAAGUCAGGGGUGAAAUCCCGGGGCUCAACCUCGGAACUGCCUUUGAUACUGCAAAUCUCGAGUCCGGAAGAGGUGAGUGGAAUUCCUAGUGUAGAGGUGAAAUUCGUAGAUAUUAGGAAGAACACCAGUGGCGAAGGCGGCUCACUGGUCCGGUACUGACGCUGAGGUGCGAAAGCGUGGGUAGCAAACAGG
rnacentral:rRNA from 1 species